rnacentral:tRNA from 1 species
CGGAGCGUGGCUCAGCCUGGUAGAGCACUGCGUUCGGGACGCAGGGGUCGGAGGUUCAAAUCCUCUCGCUCCGACCA